rnacentral:ncRNA from 1 species
AUCAGCAAAGGGCAAACUUGUCGAAAGGCAAGGACGCAAAGCUAAGGGUCUACGGCUCCGCACGAGCUAUGAUCGCCUGGUUACCGGG